rnacentral:rRNA from 1 species
AACGCGAAGAACCUUACCUGGGUUUGACAUCCCUUGAAAAGCGCAGAGAUGCGUAAUAGUCGCAAGACGCAGGGAGACAGGUGCUGCAUGGCUGUCGUCAGCUCGUGUCGUGAGAUGUUGGGUUAAGUCCCGCAACGAGCGCAACCCUUUCCCUUAUUUGCCAUCAUUAAGUUGGGAACUAUAGGGGUACUGCCGAUGAUAAAUCGGAGGAAGGUAGGGAUGACGUCAAGUCCUCAUGGCCCUUACGUCCAGGGCUACACACGUACUACAAUGGCCAAGACAAAGCGAAGCGAAGCCGAGAGGUGGAGCCAAACGCAAAAACAUGGUCUCAGUUCGGAUUGUGGUCUGCAACUCGACCACAUGAAGUUGGAAUCUCUAGUAAUCGCAGAUCAGCAGGCUGCGGUGAAUACGUUCCCGGGCCUUGUACACACCGAGUAUA